rnacentral:rRNA from 1 species
UUAAAAAUUGGUAAUUACUUUUUCCCGAAAUAGAAAGAUCUAAUAAAAUAUUUUUAUGUGUUUUAAAACAUAACUUUUAUUUUUUAUUAGGUGUGAAAGGCUUAUCAAUUUUUAUGAUAUCUGGAUUGAGCUAUAAUGUAUUUAGUACAGGCAUUAUGCUGAUUAAACUUCUGUUAAGGGAAGCUUACUUAAGAAACUGACGUAAUAUUUUUAUUUAAGAUAACUCUGUAAUAAUUUAUUUUAUUUAAUAAUUUUUUUGUUAAAUUUCUUUUCACCAAGCUCUUAAAGAUUUUAAUUUGAAAAUUUUUAAAUAAUGUUAAAAUAAGUAUUUUAAAAUAAUUUUUAUUAAGGAACUCGGCAAAAUUUUACUCAACUGUUUAUCAAAAACAUAGUUUUAUGAAACUUUAUAAAAUGAAACCUGCCCAAUGAAUUUUUAAUGGCCGCAGUACUUUAACUGUGCUAAGGUAGCAUAAUAAUUUGGCUUUUAAUUAAAGUCUGGUAUGAAAGGAUUAAUGGGUAAAAGCUGUCUUAUUUAACUUUAAAAAAAUUACUUAAAAGGUGAAAAUUCCUUUAGUAAAUUAAUAGACGAGAAGACCCUAGGAGUUUUUGUUUUGUUGGGGCAACAUCUUAGUUAAAUAACCUAUUUAAUAAUUUAAACGAUUAUAUUAAUUAUAAUUAAACUACCCUAGGGAUAACAGCAUAAUUUUUUAAAAGAUUGUGACCUCGAUGUUGG